UACUUAGGAAUCUGCCUAGUAGCUGGGGAUAACUCGGAGAAAUCCGAGCUAAUACCGAAUACGCCCUACGGGGGAAAGCCGGGGAGUCUUCGGACCUCGCACUAUUAGAUGAGCCUAAGCCGGAUUAGCUUGUUGGUGGGGUAAUGGCCUACCAAGGCGACGAUCCGUAGCUGUUCUGAGAGGAAGAUCAGCCACACUGGGACUGAGACACGGCCCAGACUCCUACGGGAGGCAGCAGUGGGGAAUAUUGGACAAGUGGGGGCAACCCUGAUCCAGCAAUGCCGCGUGUGUGAAGAAGGC
rnacentral:rRNA from 1 species